rnacentral:rRNA from 1 species
GAUGAACGCUGGCGGCGUGCUUAACACAUGCAAGUCGAACGGUGAACGAGGGAGCUUGCUCCCUCCGGAUCAGUGGCGAACGGGUGAGUAACACGUGAGCAAUCUGCCCUGGACUCUGGGAUAAGCGUUGGAAACGACGUCUAAUACCGGAUACGAGGCGUGGGGGCAUCCCCAACGCCUGGAAAGAACUUCGGUCCAGGAUGAGCUCGCGGCCUAUCAGCUAGUUGGUGAGGUAACGGCUCACCAAGGCGACGACGGGUAGCCGGCCUGAGAGGGGGACCGGCCACACUGGGACUGAGACACGGCCCAGACUCCUACGGGAGGCAGCAGUGGGGAAUAUUGCACAAUGGGCGCAAGCCUGAUGCAGCAACGCCGCGUGAGGGACGACGGCCUUCGGGUUGUAAACCUCUUUUAGCAGGGAAGAAGCGAAAGUGACGGUACCUGCAGAAAAAGCACCGGCUAACUACGUGCCAGCAGCCGCCGUAACAC